UACGUAGGGGGCGAGCGUUGUCCGGAAUCAUUGGGCGUAAAGCGCGUGUAGGCGGCUCGGUAAGUCUGCUGUGAAAGUCCAGGGCUCAACCCUGGGAUGCCGGUGGAUACUGUCGAGCUCGAGUCCGGAAGAGGCGAGUGGAAUUCCUGGUGUAGCGGUGAAAUGCGCAGAUAUCAGGAGGAACACCAAUGGCGAAGGCAACUCGCUGGGACGUGACUGACGCUGAGACGCGAAAGCGUGGGGAGCAAACAGG
rnacentral:rRNA from 1 species